UACGUAGGGUGCAAGCGUUGUCCGGAAUUAUUGGGCGUAAAGAGCUCGUAGGCGGUCUGUCGCGUCGGCUGUGAAAACCCGGGGCUCAACCCCGGGCCUGCAGUCGAUACGGGCAGACUAGAGUGCGGUAGGGGAGACUGGAAUUCCUGGUGUAGCGGUGAAAUGCGCAGAUAUCAGGAGGAACACCGGUGGCGAAGGCGGCUUGCUGGGCCAGUUCUGACGCUGAGGAGCGAAAGCGUGGGGAGCGAACAGG
rnacentral:rRNA from 1 species